rnacentral:tRNA from 1 species
GGGGAAUUCGCUCAGUUGGUAGAGCGCUCGCUUUGCAUGCGAGAGGUACCGGGAUUGAUGCCCGGAUAUUCCU